rnacentral:snRNA from 1 species
AGCUUUGUGCAGUGGCAUUAUUAUAACCAGUGUGGUCUGAGGCACGAUUAUUGCUAAUUGAAAACUUUUCCUUGUCAUUGAUGGCUUGGUCAUAUGGUAGACUGCUCUGAUGAUUCAUACCUAAAGUCUAUUUUGCUUAGAGUUCUGACU